GACUUCGUGGUGUAGCAAUCAGCACACUCGGUGCGUAAUCGAGAGACCCGUGGUUCGAGUCCCGACGAGGGCA
rnacentral:tRNA from 1 species